rnacentral:rRNA from 1 species
AGUGAACGCUGGCGGUAGGCCUAACACAUGCAAGUCGAACGGCAGCACAGUAAGAGCUUGCUCUUACGGGUGGCGAGUGGCGGACGGGUGAGGAAUACAUCGGAAUCUACUUUUUCGUGGGGGAUAACGUAGGGAAACUUACGCUAAUACCGCAUACGACCUACGGGUGAAAGCAGGGGAUCUUCGGACCUUGCGCGAUUGAAUGAGCCGAUGUCGGAUUAGCUAGUUGGUGGGGUAAAGGCCCACCAAGGCGACGAUCCGUAGCUGGUCUGAGAGGAUGAUCAGCCACACUGGAACUUAGACACGGUCCAGACUCCUACGGGAGGCAGCAGUGGGGAAUAUUGGACAAUGGGCGCAAGCCUGAUCCAGCCAUACCGCGUGGGUGAAGAAGGCCUUCGGGUUGUAAAGCCCUUUUGUUGGGAAAGAAAAGCAGCAGGUUAAUACCCCGCUGUUCUGACGGUACCCAAAGAAUAAGCACCGGCUAACUUCGUG